rnacentral:antisense_RNA from 1 species
AGCUGCUUGUCAGGCCAAGAAGACAGCAGCCCUGAUGAUCAGUUCUUCCUAAAGCCAUCUGGCUUCUGGGGAGGGGCAGGACAGCCCCCCAGGGCAGGGAGAGCACUCGGAGGGGCCAGCAGGAGACAUCCAGCUCAAGUCUUCAGCGCCACCUUUUAUGAUGACAGUGGCCUUGAAUGGGAGAGUGGCGGGCAGUGACGCACAACUUUGUGAAUAGCCUGUCAAGCACUGAGCUGCAAACUUUAACAUGGAGAAUUUUACGGCGUAUGAAUUACUUCUUCAUUAAAAAACUUUUUUUUUUUUUUUGAAAAUCA